GACAACUCGCGGGGAUUGUUUUCCACACCGUGGAAGCUUUGUUCUUUUCGUUUUUUGCAAUAAAUCUUGUUGCUGCUCGCUUUUUGGGUCCACAUUGCUUUUAUGAGCUGUACCACUCACCGUGAAGAUCUGCAGCUUCACUUCAGAGCCUAGCGAGACCACAAGCUCACUGAGAGGAACAAACAACUCCAGACGCGCUGUCUUAAGAGCUAUAACACUCACCGCGAAGGUGUGCAGUUUCACUCCUGAGCUAGUGAGACUACGAAGCCACUGGAACGAAGAAACUCCAACCACGUUUGAACAUCAGAAGGGGCAGACUCCAGACGCUUCAUCUUAAGAGCUGUAACACUCACUGUGAAGGUCUGCAGCUUCACUCCUGAGCCAGCGAGACCACGAACCGAUCUGAACAUCAGAAGGGACAGACUCCAGAUGCCCCACCUUAAGAGCUGUAAUACUCACUGCAAGGGUCUGCAGCUUCAUUCUUGAAGUCAGACCAAGAACCCAGCAAUUCCCAACACACAGGGACCAGCUUCUUUCCUAACUCACUUAGGCUCUUCGUGCUGCUCUGGCAACUAACACCCUUGGCUGCAGGGGCUUGGACACUACCCUUAGUCACUGACAAUUGUGUGAAGGCUGCUGUCGUUAACUUCACUUGAUCACCUUAGGCUCCUGUGAAGUGGUGAGCAAUUCAAACAAAUUCCUGUCGUCAAAUCAUAUAAGAUCAAUCAGAUUCGUGUUUUGCAACUACUUCUUGGCAAGACGUACGGGACUGACCGCAGUUGACACAUGCCAAUAGGGGGAGAAAUCUGAAGACGUGUUUCUGUGCAGUGGUGGCACCCAGGGGCUCUGGCCAGAGGAGGUCACAGGAAGAUGCCUAGCGGCCCGUGGAGCGACCUGCCCCGCAUUGUCACUUGACCGCUGGUGUGCGAAGGGGAUAACACUGUGUUCAAUGUGUUUGUAACCUUGCAUGAAAAAAUUGAAGAAAUGUCACUUUCUUCUCACCCUCUCCCAGGCCAAUCAUCUGUCAUGAAUUCAAUAUGAGGCAAACGUCUGGUGAUCACAGGGACAAACUAGGGAUAGGCCUUUGGGAGAGGAAUCUACUCAGUUUGUGUUCAACCGGACUAUCCAGGGUCCCUCCAACGACAUGUCGGGAUUAUGAGAACUACAAUUCAAGAUGAGAUUUGGGUGGGGACACAACCAAACGAUAUCAUAAGAAUCCUGAUUUUGUUUGGAAGGACAGCGUGCCUGGUUCCAGGAUAUACAUCUUUCCACACCAAUAGACCUUGUUUUCCGAUGUAGCAUUAUUUUUCAUAGUUGGCGAAUAUACAGUUAUGGAUUCAUAACAGCAAGAUGGAGAAAUUGCACUGCAGAGAAAUCUUUAAAAGCAAUUACCUAAUACUGCAGAUUGCUGAACUGUACCCACACCCAAGACUGAGCAUUGGAUCAAUCCAGAAUAUACAUCAGGUGUUCUGCAAUGUCUGCCUAAAACCAUGACUCUGCCUCCUCCAGCUGUUGCUACAUCUCACUAUGGGUUUCCUGUGACAUUUUGAGCAAGUAUGCCUCUGUGACUGGGGUUCUUACACUCCAGAAUGGAUGAGAAGCACCGUAAGUGGCUUUUAAAAUGAAUAUUCCCUGGCCCUUCAGUCGCUCUAUAGGUCAAGAAUCUGAAUUCUCAACCUGUCUAGAAGGUUCUGGUUUUAAUGGUCUGUGGGCUGCACAUUGAGAAACCUGUUCAGCGAGUGCAACAAAGGUUCCACAUGUGAGAAAGGAAGCAUCAGGUCUCUUGAGCCUGUUCUUUAAUCUGUAGGCUGCACCUUCUCUUUAAAUUCUGCUAAUAACACCAUGCGAGAAAACACCCGAGCUUGAAAAGCCCAUGUUCCAACAUAACUGUCCUUCACCACUCUGGAAAAUUAAUGGUUUGUUUCGAUUAUCCCUUUGUUAAACUCCAAAGUCAAAGAGCUCUGAAAGGCAUACGGUUAUUUUAAGUUUCAGGUGAUUUCUGUUGCCAAAUAUUUUAAAAAUUUAAAAUUGCUACGUGACCUCUUAGUAGUACUAUUAGAUUUCCUGACAAUAAAAAUAAGUCUUUUGGUUUCACCAUUUAUAGUUAGUACAGCUAAUAUUAAGUAUAAUUUUAAAAGCCUUUUAUUUUCUCAGAAAGAAAAAAUAAUCAAAAUCUGCUCAGUGUGGUAUUGAAUAAUUAAAAACAAAAGAACAGUAUCUUCACAUUAG
ensembl:lncRNA novel transcript